AAAGCAAGGCAGAGAGAGCACGUAGCUGAACGGUUGGGCUGCGGGCUGCGCUGGCUGAUCGUGACUGGCAGACAGGUGACCCUGGAAAUAAGAAAUAAGCAGCAAUGCAGCUUCACCAUAAAUGGCUACCGCGGUUCAUCCGGGUUCCUGCCCAUCUGUCCACCUCGACGUCCUCCCUCUUUCUCUCGCCAGCCGAGGUGUCGGGGCAGCAGCUAUCUUUUCAGCAGGCAAAAUGUGUUAGCCUGUCUCACUGUCAGUCCGGCUGUGUCUCACCCUGCGCCCCCGUGAACCUGUCUGCGUGGCUGCAAGUCUGACGGAGUUUUCUUUUCUGUUAUUUUUUUGUCUGAGCUUCUUUAAUAAGCGGUGUGUUUGCUUGUUUAUUUACAUGUCCCUCUGACGGGCACAUACAAGGACGCUCAUGCCAGAAGGGACAAAUAGCGCGGUGGCCUUGGAAGGGGAGCUCAAAACGGCCGACCUUGGUGCGACCGACAACCUUCUGUUUGUCCUGUUUGCCAUCGCCUGCUCUGUUUGUGUUCCGGUCUUACCUUGUGUGUCUGAAUGCACUGUCUGUUGUAAUGUGUGGCCUUGUACAACGUCACAACACCUGCCUGUGAAUCUGAUUUUGGGCUUGAGCAAUUCACAUCUCAGUCUGUGUCACAGUUAAGAAAAGGCGCGCAAAUUGAUUUGGAAUUCAAGUUCAAGUUAAAGAGUAAAUUACAUGCAAUUUUCGUUCUUGCGGGAUGUAUUAUUUAUUGAAUAGAAAUAGUUUUAAAGAAAGAACAUCAAUAACAUAAGCAGCAUGUCAGCAUCAGCAGCAUUUAAAAUAUUUAGUUAAAUCGAACUUAACUUAACAAAAAAUCUUUAGUUUUUUUAAAAAAAGGUUAAAAACACACAGACACACAAAAAAGAAAUUUAAACUGACUGAUGGUGAAGAUGAUGGUUUGAGUCAAUGUCUUCUUUGUUUUAAAUUUAGCUGCAUUUACAGCUGCAGAUGAGUGUGUCAUGCAUGACACUGUACUAAAACAAAUGUUUGCAUUGCAUGACAAAACUUGGACGAUAGAAGUGUAAUGUGUUGGUAGGAGUCGUGCUGGGUCACAGCUCAGCAGCAGGAAAAGCCCAAGCCACUGCUGCUACUAAUGGAGACCCACAGUGUUCAAAAUAAAUGUUUAAAUUAAUAAAGAAUUAACAAAUACAUUUUAAAUAUAACUAUGAAAAGUGAGUUUGGAAAGAAAGAACAUAAAGAUGACCUGUAUUUUACAAAAUGACAUAUACCUAUAAGGAGUUAGUAGGAUGCUCACGUCGCAAACUGUAACAGUUACUUUUUAGAUGGAAUAUGGGCCAUAACAUUAAUAUGGGAUUGGAAGACAAAAAAUAUAGAUCAAAUAUCUUUAUUUCAAUUAAAAUUCUAAUAUUAAAUUCAACACGUAAAUAUUUGAUGAACUAAAUAACUGAAUAAUAAAAUAAAUACUUCUUAUUAUGAUCGGUUUUUCAAUGCAAAUUAAGUUCAUUGAAUUACAAUUGAUUUUCUAAAUAUGUGCAUUGCAGCCACAGUAACGGUACCAUUUAUGAUAUUUCGUCAAGUUUAGCCUUCUGAUCUUUAAUAUAUCUAUAUAUCUAUCUAUAGAUGUAGAUAGAUAUAUCUAUAUAAAAUUGUGUUGAACUUAGGUUGAGCUCAUGUUUCAGCUACUCUUUGUAUGCUUUGGGCUUUAGUUGUUAUUGAACUGUAAAUGAAAAGAUAUUGAUUUUGUGCCAUUAAAAAGUUGUAAAACUUUGAAUUGAACAUAAUUCUGUAAAUUUCGAGCAAACGGCCUCCAUCUUGUUCCAGGAAAAAAGGUCCUGUGUCCCUCCUUGAUCAGU